rnacentral:rRNA from 1 species
CCUACGGGAGGCAGCAGUGAGGAAUAUUGGUCAAUGGGCGCGAGCCUGAACCAGCCAAGCAGCGUGAAGGAUGACUGCCCUACGGGUUGUAAACUUCUUUUAUAAAGGAAUAAAGUGAGGCACGUGUGCCUUUUUGUAUGUACUUUAUGAAUAAGGAUCGGCUAACUCCGUGCCAUCAGCCGCGGUAAUACGGAGGAUCCGAGCGUUAUCCGGAUUUAUUGGGUUUAAAGGGAGCGUAGAUGGGUUGUUAAGUCAGUUGUGAAAGUUUGCGGCUCAACCAUAAAAUUGCAAUUGAUACUGGCAGUCUUGAGUACAGUUGAGGUAGGCGGAAUUCGUGGUGUAGCGGUGAAAUGCUUAGAUAUCACGAAGAACUCCGGUUGCGAAGGCAGCUUACUAAACUGCCACUGACAUUGAUGCUCGAAAGUGUGGGUAUCAAACAGGAUUAGAUACCCUUGUAGUC